rnacentral:lncRNA from 15 species
AUGUUCAGAAUAUCUUGUUUAUUUCCUCUCUGUUCUCCGUGUCAACCCUCUUUCUCCUCUCUCCCCUCUGUUUUUCUUGGCUCCAUGUCGGCUCCUUUCUGCUUCCUCGCCUCCCUUGCUGAGUGGCAGGAUGCGUGUUCAGUAGUCAGUGACUACGACUGCCCCUGUGCGGAGGUGAGCAACAGUUUGGAGGACCUGCUGGGCCUCAGCUCUUCUCUCAGAGACUCUGAGUACUUUAAAGACCUGGAAGAGGGGAUACUGGCAUCACAGUCUACUGCAUCCACGGUCCCAGCGAGCAAUACCUUAACUGCUGGCCUACAGGUGUCCCUAAACACAGACAGUCCCGCCACCAACCCCGCUGUACAGACUUCUUGGACCACACACUCCCUUCAGGUCAAUGCAUCGUCUCCCCCCUACUAUAAACACCCUGCAGAGGAACACCAUCACAACUUUGUAGUCACUCAGCUUAGUCCUAAGUUACUGCCAGGUUGUAUCAUUGACAGUGGUGACUCCUCUGGCCCUGCAGUAGGGUUUAGCUUGACAAUUAAUCUGAAUGGACUGUUGGGAUCAAUGGAAACAACAAAAGGAAUAACAGAACCAGAGGAAGUAAUGGAGCAACCCACAAUGGAUUCAGAGGGAGAGCCUGACCUGGACAGCUUUCCUACUCUGGUCAGAUCCAUGUCAACGUCUCGGAGGCACAGCUGGGGUGUCCCUGUGUCCCCCAUUAACCUGGGGAGGAGACUGAGUCUGGAUACCAUGAACAUGGACAGCGAUGGAGAGAGAGACGAUGAUGAGGAGGGACAAAAAAGUCUCUUCCAGUCCACCCAACAGCAGACCUACAGCUGCACAGCAUGUCCUGGAGAUGAGACAGAUGGUCCCAGGCUGAUCCCCUGUCCCAGAGCCAGAGUCACUAGCAUGGCUGGCGGUGUGCCUGGCAGGCAUCUGUACUCCCGCUCAGAGAUCCUAGCCACGGACGAGUGUUCCCGUGCCGCACACAUUUCUCGUGUUGUACAGACAUCCAAACAGGCCGCACGGGCAGCAGGAGGUGGGUCUGAGUGUUUGAACAUGUGGAGUACGUGUUAG